rnacentral:rRNA from 1 species
GUCGAGCGAACGGACGAGAAGCUUGCUUCUCUGAUGUUAGCGGCGGACGGGUGAGUAACACGUGGAUAACCUACCUAUAAGACUGGGAUAACUUCGGGAAACCGGAGCUAAUACCGGAUAAUAUUUUGAACCGCAUGGUUCAAAAGUGAAAGACGGUCUUGCUGUCACUUAUAGAUGGAUCCGCGCUGCAUUAGCUAGUUGGUAAGGUAACGGCUUACCAAGGCAACGAUGCAUAGCCGACCUGAGAGGGUGAUCGGCCACACUGGAACUGAGACACGGUCCAGACUCCUACGGGAGGCAGCAGUAGGGAAUCUUCCGCAAUGGGCGAAAGCCUGACGGAGCAACGCCGCGUGAGUGAUGAAGGUCUUCGGAUCGUAAAACUCUGUUAUUAGGGAAGAACAUAUGUGCAAGUAACUGUGCACAUCUUGACGGUACCUAAUCAGAAAGCCACGGCUAACUACGUGCCAGCAGCCGCGGUAAUACGUAGGUGGCAAGCGUUAUCCGGAAUUAUUGGGCGUAAAGCGCGCGUAGGCGGUUUUUUAAGUCUGAUGUGAAAGCCCACGGCUCAACCGUGGAGGGUCAUUGGAAACUGGAAAACUUGAGUGCAGAAGAGGAAAGUGGAAUUCCAUGUGUAGCGGUGAAAUGCGCAGAGAUAUGGAGGAACACCAGUGGCGAAGGCGACUUUCUGGUCUGUAACUGACGCUGAUGUGCGA